rnacentral:rRNA from 1 species
AACGAACGCUGGCGGCAGGCCUAACACAUGCAAGUCGAACGCCGUAGCAAUACGGAGUGGCAGACGGGUGAGUAACGCGUGGGAACAUGCCCUUUGGUUCGGAAUAACUCAGGGAAACUUGAGCUAAUACCGGAUAAGCCCGAGAGGGGAAAGAUUUAUCGCCGAAGGAUUGGCCCGCGUCCGAUUAGCUAGUUGGUGGGGUAAUGGCCCACCAAGGCGACGAUCGGUAGCUGGUCUGAGAGGAUGAUCA